rnacentral:tRNA from 1 species
UCUGAUAAGAAAGGUUUCGUUGACCCACUUCAUAGGUCAACUUUUAAAUGACCGUUGGUCAGGUAGUGAAAGUCUACCAAUUACCCUUACACUCUACUUCUCUCUUUCCGCUUAUCUUAUUUCAUAGUCGGGGGCAUAGCUCAGCUGGCUAGAGCAUCGGCUUUGCAAGCCGAGGGUCAGGGGUUCGAAUCCCCUUGCCUCCAUCGAUUUUUCACAUAAUUAGCGUAGGGAUAUUGAUAUUAAUAU